rnacentral:rRNA from 1 species
CCUGGCUCAGAACGAACGCUGGCGGCGUGCCUAACACAUGCAAGUCGAACGAGAAAGGGGCUUCGGCCCUGAGUAAAGUGGCGCACGGGUGAGUAACACGUAGGUAACCUGCCUCUAAGAUUGGGAUAACAUGUCGAAAGACGUGCUAAUACCGAAUAAGACCACAGUUUCCUCGGAAACAGGGGUCAAAGGUAGCCUCUAUUUAUAAGCUAUCACUUAGAGAUGGGCCUGCGUACCAUUAGCUAGUUGGUAGGGUAACGGCCUACCAAGGCAAAGAUGGUUAGCUGGUCUGAGAGGAUGAUCAGCCACACUGGAACUGAGACACGGUCCAGACUCCUACGGGAGGCAGCAGUGGGGAAUAUUGCGCAAUGGGCGAAAGCCUGACGCAGCAACGCCGCGUGAGUGAUGAAGGCCUUCGGGUCGUAAAGCUCUGUCGGAGGGAACGAAUGUUUCUGAGGUUAACAGCCUCAGGAAGUGACGGUACCCUCAAAGGAAGCACCGGCUAACUCUGUGCCAGCAGCCGCGGUAAUACAGAGGGUGCUAGCGUUGUUCGGAAUCAUUGGGCGUAAAGGGCGUGUAGGCGGUUUGUUAAGUCAUGUGUGAAAUCCCUCGGCUCAACCGGGGAACGACGCAUGAAACUGGCAAGCUAGAGUACCAAAGAGGGGGGUGGAA